rnacentral:misc_RNA from 1 species
UCCCGGUGGUACCCAGGUCCG